UACGUAGGGGGCAAGCGUUGUCCGGAAUCAUUGGGCGUAAAGAGCGUGUAGGCGGCUCGGUAAGUCCGCUGUGAAAGUCCAGGGCUCAACCCUGGAAUGCCGGUGGAAACUGUCGAGCUAGAGUCCGGAAGAGGAGAGUGGAAUUCCCGGUGUAGCGGUGAAAUGCGCAGAUAUCGGGAAGAACACCCGUGGCGAAGGCGGCUCUCUGGGACGGUACUGACGCUGAGACGCGAAAGCGUGGGGAGCGAACAGG
rnacentral:rRNA from 1 species